CAGAAACUUGUUUCGCCCAGUGGAUGCCUAUUGGUCUUCACAAAUUUACUGUGAUGGUUGCAGAAAUCUCCUGCUUCUUAACAGCACUGGCAUCUUAUUUCUGAUCAAUGACACUGAUUCUUCAGUACUUCGACAAUUAUACACUCCACUUGUACAGAAUGACAGAGCUAUUUAUCGGGCCACUCUAGAUUAUGAUGGGAAUUUUCGACUCUAUUCUCAUGAAUUUGACUCCAAUGGAAAUUCUAAAAUGGUAGUGGAGUGGGAGGCAAUUGAUGAUAUUUGUCUUGUGAAGGGUUUCUGUGGCCUUAAUGGCUAUUGUGUCAGAAGUAAUCACAAUGCACCGUCUUGUAUGUGUCUACCAGGGUCAUACUUGAGAGAGAAUGAUCCAAACUUUGGUGACUGUCAAAGGAACUUCACCAGAGGAAAGUGCAUUAAUGGGAAAGAAGAUGUAAGUGUCUACAAGAUUACUACCACAACCAAUUUGACCUGGGAGGAUCCUCCUUACUUUGUUACAUCACUUCUACGAAAAGAAGAUUGUGGUAAAUCUUGUUUGGAGGACUGCGAUUGUGAUGCUUCUCUUUUCAAUGAAAUUGGGCAGUGUAUGAAACACAAGCUGCCUUUGAGGUAUGUCAAAG
rnacentral:misc_RNA from 1 species